rnacentral:rRNA from 1 species
GACCUACGGGAGGCAGCAGUGAGGAAUAUUGGUAAAUGGACGCAAGUCUGAACCAGCCAAGUCGCGUGCAGGAUGACGGCCCUCCGGGUUGUAAAAUGCUUUUAGUUGGGAAUAAAAGGGGGCUCGUGAGCCCCGUAUUGUAUGUACCAUCAGAAAAAGGACCGGCUAAUUCCGUGCCAGCAGCCGCGGUAAUACGGAAGGGCCGGGCGUUAUACGGAUUUAUUGGGUUUAAAGGGAGCGUA